rnacentral:rRNA from 1 species
CCUACGGGUGGCUGCAGUGAGGAAUAUUGGUCAAUGGACGAGAGUCUGAACCAGCCAAGUAGCGUGAAGGAUGACUGCCCUCGGGGUUGUAACCUUCUUUUAUAAAGAAAUAAAACAAGGCACGUCUGCCUUAUUGCAUGUACUUUAUUAAUAAGGAUCGGCUAACUCCGUGCCAGGAGCCGCGGUAAUACGGAGGUUCCGAGCGUUAUCCGGAUUUAUUGGGUUUAAAGGGAGCGUAGAUGGGUUGUUAAGUCAGUUGUGAAAGUUUGCGGCUCAACCGUAAAAUUGCAAUUGAUACUGGCAGUCUUGAGUACAGGUGAGGUAGGCGGAAUUCGUGGUGUAGCGGUGAAAUGCUUAGAUAUUACGAAGAACCCCGAUUGCGAAGGCAGCUUACUAAACUGUGACUGACAUUGAGGCGCGAAAGUGUGGGUAGCAAACAGGAUUAGAUACCCUAGUAGUC